rfam:Pan troglodytes isolate Yerkes chimp pedigree #C0471 (Clint) chromosome 17, whole genome shotgun sequence.
UAUUCUCAUGAGGGAGCCAUUUUGGGUACAACCCAAGUAUCGACCCACCCCACCAUAAUUUUAUAUAUAUCAUGCAUUUCUGCUAGCCACCAUGAAUAUUAUAUA